GCUUAACACNUGCAAGUCGAGCGGUAAGGCCCUUCGGGGUACACGAGCGGCGAACGGGUGAGUAACACGUGGGUGAUCUGCCCUGUACUUCGGGAUAAGCCUGGGAAACUGGGUCUAAUACCGGAUAUGACCUUACAUCGCAUGGUGUUUGGUGGAAAGAUUUAUCGGUACAGGAUGGGCCCGCGGCCUAUCAGCUUGUUGGUGGGGUAAUGGCCUACCAAGGCGACGACGGGUAGCCGGCCUGAGAGGGCGACCGGCCACACUGGGACUGAGACACGGCCCAGACUCCUACGGGAGGCAGCAGUGGGGAAUAUUGCACAAUGGGCGAAAGCCUGAUGCAGCGACGCCGCGUGAGGGAUGACGGCCUUCGGGUUGUAAACCUCUUUCGACAGGGACGAAGCGCAAGUGACGGUACCUGUAGAAGAAGCACCGGCCAACUACGUGCCAGCAGCCGCGGUAAUACGUAGGGUGCGAGCGUUGUCCGGAAUUACUGGGCGUAAAGAGCUUGUAGGCGGUUUGUCGCGUCGUCCGUGAAAACUUGGGGCUCAACCCCAAGCUUGCGGGCGAUACGGGCAGACUUGAGUACUGCAGGGGAGACUGGAAUUCCUGGUGUAGCGGUGAAAUGCGCAGAUAUCAGGAGGAACACCGGUGGCGAAGGCGGGUCUCUGGGCAGUAACUGACGCUGAGAAGCGAAAGCGUGGGUAGCGAACAGGAUUAGAUACCCUGGUAGUCCACGCCGUAAACGGUGGGCGCUAGGUGUGGGUUUCCUUCCACGGGAUCCGUGCCGUAGCUGACGCAUUAAGCGCCCCGCCUGGGGAGUACGGNCGCAAGGCUAAAACU
rnacentral:rRNA from 1 species